UACGUAGGGUGCGAGCGUUGUCCGGAAUUAUUGGGCGUAAAGAGCUCGUAGGCGGCUUGUCGCGUCGAAUGUGAAAUCUCAGGGCUCAACUCUGACAUUGCAUUCGAUACGGGCAGGCUAGAGUUCGGUAGGGGAGACUGGAAUUCCUGGUGUAGCGGUGAAAUGCGCAGAUAUCAGGAGGAACACCGAUGGCGAAGGCAGGUCUCUGGGCCGAUACUGACGCUGAGGAGCGAAAGCGUGGGGAGCGAACAGG
rnacentral:rRNA from 1 species